rnacentral:rRNA from 1 species
UACAGAGGUCUCAAGCGUUGUUCGGAUUCAUUGGGCGUAAAGGGUGCGUAGGUGGCGCCGUAAGUCGGGUGUGAAAUUUCGGAGCUUAACUCCGAAACUGCAUUCGAUACUGCCGUGCUUGAGGACUGGAGAGGAGACUGGAAUUUACGGUGUAGCGGUGAAAUGCGUAGAUAUCGUAAGGAAGACCAGUGGCGAAGGCGGGUCUCUGGACAGUUCCUGACGCUGAGGCACGAAGGUCAGGGGGAGCAAAACGGG